AGGAGCUGCUGGUGCUGGCCGUUCCUCGCCCGCUUGCCCAGCUACGUGUUGGAGUGGUGCAGCUAAUUGUUAAUUGAUGGGAGCGGUGGCCUCAGCCGGGACGUCUUGCAGCAGCAUGAGGAGCUACAGCAGGGCGAGCUCAAUAUCUUCCCACCCAUAGAUCAUCUAGGUGCAGGCAGGUUUUGGGAAGCUGCCAACUAACAUCUUGUAGCAGCUGAAAAUCUCAAGGAGGUCAAGCUGCUAGUCCUGUAGACGACACCGUCCAGGGGCUUGUCGGCAUCGGCUUCAAAGGAGGUCAAAGCUGCUAGUCCCGGAGACGCCACCGUCGGCGUCGGCUUUAAAG